AACGAACGCUGGCGGCAUGCCUAACACAUGCAAGUCGAACGAGGCCUUCGGGUCUAGUGGCGCACGGGUGCGUAACGCGUGGGAACCUGCCCUUAGGUUCGGAAUAACUCCCCGAAAGGGGUGCUAAUACCGGAUAAUGUCUUCGGACCAAAGAUUUAUCGCCUUUGGAUGUGCCCGCGUUGGAUUAGCUAGUUGGUAGGGUAAAAGCCUACCAAGGCGACGAUCCAUAGCUGGUCUGAGAGGAUGAUCAGCCACACUGGGACUGAGACACGGCCCAGACUCCUACGGGAGGCAGCAGUGGGGAAUAUUGGACAAUGGGCGAAAGCCUGAUCCAGCAAUGCCGCGUGAGUGAUGAAGGCCUUAGGGUUGUAAAGCUCUUUUACCCGGGAUGAUAAUGACAGUACCGGGAGAAUAAGCUCCGGCUAACUCCGUG
rnacentral:rRNA from 1 species